GACGAACGCUGGCGGCGUGCUUAACACAUGCCAGUCGAACGGAAAGGCCCUGCUUUUGUGGGGUGCUCGAGUGGCGAACGGGUGAGUAACACGUGAGUAACCUGCCCCUGACUUUGGGAUAACUUCAGGAAACUGGGGCUAAUACCGGAUAGGAGCUCCUGCUGCAUGGUGGGGGUUGGAAAGUUUCGGCGGUUGGGGAUGGACUCGCGGCUUAUCAGCUUGUUGGUGGGGUAGUGGCUUACCAAGGCUUUGACGGGUAGCCGGCCUGAGAGGGUGACCGGCCACAUUGGGACUGAGAUACGGCCCAGAAUCCUACGGGAGGCAGCAGUGGGGAAUAUUGCACAAUGGGCGGAAGCCUGAUGCAGCAACGCCGCGUGCGGGAUGACGGCCUUCGGGUUGUAAACCGCUUUCGCCUGUGACGAAGCGUGAGUGACGGUAAUGGGUAAAGAAGCACCGGCUAACUACGUG
rnacentral:rRNA from 1 species